rnacentral:rRNA from 1 species
GGGCUGCAGUGGGGAAUUUUGCGCAAUGGGCGAAAGCCUGACGCAGCAAUACCGCGUGAGUGAAGAAGGCCUUUGGGUCGUAAAGCUCUUUUCUAAGGGAAGAUAGUGACGGUACCUUAGGAAUAAGCACCGGCUAACUCCGUGCCAGCAGCCGCGGUAAUACGGAGGGUGCAAGCGUUGUUCGGAUUUACUGGGCGUAAAGAGCACGUAGGCGGCAUAGCAAGUUAAGGGUGAAAUCCCGGGGCUCAACUCCGGAACUGCUCUUAAAACUGCUAAGCUAGAGAUAGUCAGAGGCGGGUGGAAUUCCAGGUGUAGAGGUGAAAUUCGUAGAUAUCUGGAGGAACACCGGUGGCGAAGGCGGCCCGCUGGGGCUAUUCUGACGCUGAGGUGCGAAAGCGUGGGGAGCAAACGGGAUUAGAUACCCUGGUAGUC